CCUUCAUACUGAUCAUACUCUGAACUCAAACUACAGAAUCAUGUUACUCAUCUCUUCAGUUUUAAUAUUUAUCCUCAGUUACUGUGAAGCGAAUGGGAAUGCCAUCAGAGCAAACCAACCAUCUGAAGUUUUAACUGAAGGAAGCAGCAUCACUCUCUCCUGUACUUAUGAAUCUGGAUCAGCUUACAGUCUCCACUGGUACCGGCAGAUGCCUGGAUCAACACUAGAGUUUCUGCUGCUGAUUGUGAAGUCUACUAAGUAUGUCGCCAAAGCUGACCGACCUCACCCGCAUAUGUCCAUUAGACUUCAUGAUAAACUUGUGGAUCUGGAGAUCUCCUCUGCUGCUGUCUCUGACUCUGCAGUGUAUUACUGUGCUCUGGAGCCCACAGUGACAGGAAAAUCAUCUACACUGUACAAUAACAGAUGUUGCUCCUGGUAUUCACUAUAGUUUCUCUUCUAAAAGAGAAUGCUGCUGCAGAUGCG